rnacentral:rRNA from 1 species
CCCAGGUCAGGCGGUCUCCCGA